GAACCCCGGCGAGGGGAGUGAAAAAGAACCUGAAACCGUGUACGUACAAGCAGUGGGAGCCCCACCACUAAGCCAGUGGUGAACUCACAUACGCAUCCUUUGCUGAAGGUGCGGUUAACGGAGCGCAAGCGACGUUCAACCUCAAAAGAAGCAGAGGGGGCUUAGUGGUGGGGUGACUGCGUACCUUUUGUAUAAUGGGUCAGCGACUUAUAUUCUGUAGCAAGGUUAACCGUAUAGGGGAGCCGGAGGGAAACCGAGUCUUAAUUGGGCGUUAAGUUGCAGGGUAUAGACCCGAAACCCGGUGAUCUAGCCAUGGGCAGGUUGAAGGUUGGGUAACACUAACUGGAGGACCGA
rnacentral:rRNA from 1 species